rnacentral:rRNA from 1 species
UACGUAGGGAGCGAGCGUUGUCCGGAUUUAUUGGGCGUAAAGAGCUCGUAGGCGGCCUGUUGCGUCCGCUGUGAAAUCCCGGGGCUCAACCCCGGGCGUGCAGUGGAUACGGGCUGGCUGGAGGCAGGCAGGGGAGAACGGAAUUCCUGGUGUAGCGGUGAAAUGCGCAGAUAUCAGGAGGAACACCGGUGGCGAAGGCGGUUCUCUGGGCCUGUACUGACGCUGAGGAGCGAAAGCGUGGGGAGCGAACAGG